AAGACGACCACGUUGAUAGGCCGGGUGUGGAAGAGCGGCAACGCUUGAAGCUUACCGGUACUAAUAGUUCGAUAGGCUUGAUCGUUCUCAUU
rnacentral:rRNA from 1 species